GAGUGAGUGAAGAUUGUGUUUUAUGUGUAUUAUGUGUGGUGAGUGAGUGAGUGAAUGUUUUAUACUAUGUAAAUGCACUGCAGUAAUUAUAGACAAUUUAAUUGUGUUUUAUGUAGA